GAAGGCCAGGCAUCUGGGCUAUACUGACACUGAGGUGCGAAAGCAUGGGAGCCAUCAGGAUUAGAUACCUGGUAGUCCAUGCGUAACGAUGUCUACUAGCCGUUGGGSGAUUUGAUCCUUUAGUGGCGCCAGCUAAACGCGAUAAGUAGACCGCCUGGGGAGUACGGUCGCAAGACUAAAACUCAAAUGAAUUGACGGGGGCCCGCACAAGCGGUGGAGCAUGUGGUUUAAUUCGAUGCAACGCGAAGAACCUUACCUGGCCUUGACAUAGUAGAGACUUUCCAGAGAUGGAUUGGUGCCUUCGGGAAUCUACAUACAGGUGCUGCAUGGCUGUCGUCAGCUCGUGUCGUGAGAUGUUGGGUUAAGUCCCGCAACGAGCGCAACCCUUUUCCUUACUUGCCAGCAUUUCGGAUGGGAACUUUAAGGAUACUGCCAGUGACAAACUGGAGGAAGGCGGGGACGACGUCAAGUCAUCAUGGCCCUUACGGCCAGGGCUACACACGUGCUACAAUGGUCGGUACAAAGGGUUGCUACACAGCGAUGUGAUGCUAAUCUCAAAAAGCCGAUCGUAGUCCGGAUCGCAGUCUGCAACUCGACUGCGUGAAGUCGGAAUCGCUAGUAAUCGCGGAUCAGAAUGCCGCGGUGAAUACGUUCCCGGGCCUUGUACACACCGCCCGUCACACCAUGGGAGUUUGUUGCACCAGAAGUAGGUAGUC
rnacentral:rRNA from 1 species